rnacentral:rRNA from 1 species
CAGUCGCCACGGUAAUACGAGGGGGGCAAGCGUUGUUCGGAAUUAUUGGGCGUAAAGGGUGCGUAGGCGGUUUCGUAAGUCUUAUGUGAAAUCUAUGGGCUCAACCCAUAGUCUGCAUGGGAAACUGCGAGGCUUGAGGAUGGGAGAGGUGAGUGGAAUUUCCGGUGUAGCGGUGAAAUGCGUAGAUAUCGGAAGGAACACCUGUGGCGAAAGCGGCUCACUGGACCAUUUCUGACGCUGAUGCACGAAGGCUAGGGGAGCAAACAGGAUUAGAGACCCCCGUAGUCCCUGUCUCUUAUAC